rnacentral:lncRNA from 1 species
GCACAUCUUCCCAGGAAGAAUAGUGAGAAGCUCUUCUUGUCCCAGCUUUGGGGUGGAUGAAAGCAGCUCUGGGAAGCAGCUCUGGGAGACUCACUGAGAGACUAACACUGACAGACCAUUGUCCACCAUAAGCCACUGGCUUUCCCUCUCUUGGCACUGUCAAUCUGCCCUGGGUAGAGAUCUGAAGCCCCCAGCCGUCAUCCAUGUGUCCACUCCCCUGAGCACCAGCCUUACGUUUGCGUGCGUAAUGCUGAGCCCAGGGCUAAACUCCGAUAGGCAGUGCUGCAGGUCACCAGUUCAGGGUGGGCAACCCCAGAGAUGGGCUGGGGGUGGGGAGCGCCAGUGUGUAUGUCUCCACAAGCUUAUUUUUAGUUGCGUUAUAUAAGUGGCUUCAUCCCGGCGUCAUGGAGGAAGGGGGGGGUCUCAGAUUUAAUUACAGAAUGACAGCCUUUGCAUUUCAAGCAAGCUGUUCUCCUGGCAAGGCAGGCACACGGAUCGGGAGUCUACUCAGCAGAAGCUGCCCUUGGGGAAGUGGCCCCCAGCAGACUGUCAGCCCACCUUCACCUCCAUCCUCUGCCAUUUGCCUAAGGUCUCCAGAGAUGGUGGGAGACCUGUGCCUGUUAAGGGAGCGCUCUCCACCCCCACCCCACCCCUACCUGGCAACUUUUCUUCUCUCUAAGGAAAGGAUCUCCCAAUCAGAACUCUUCUGUUUUCAUCCCCCAACUGAAGCUUUUGUAAUAGUCUUCCUUCCCAGCCCAGCAGGGACAGCACAGUUGACUCCUGACCAGUGUCCAGUGUGCUGCCAUGUCCCCAUCAUGACUGAAGGUGGAGAGACCGCAGCCCAGGGAUGCCUGAGGAGACAGGAAGACUGAAGGUCCCCUGACACCCUGCUGCUGGGUCCUGGGCAGGAAGAGGAGGACACUAGGUAGAAUGUGGAGAACUCUGGAUGAACUGUGGACUUUAGUUAAUGAUAUGUCGGCACCAGCACUAGAAUGGUAGUCAGUCCAUCACACUAAGGCAGCAAGCUAACAAUGGUAGCUGGGUGGGCUCAGGGGCAGUCUUCGGAUGUCUGAGGCCCUGGGCCUGUUCCCUGGUACCACUCCAAAGAAGAGGACGUGGAGUGUCUUUGCUCUGAAUGAGGAAAUGUAGAGCGAAGGACCUUGCCGGGCCCCGGGCUACAGGUCAGAGGGUGCUGGGAGCUGCCAUGUCUGCCUUGCCUGUGCAAGCUGAGGUCUAAAGAGCAGAGCAGUUCAGCUCUCUUGCUAUACCAGAGGUGGGUGCUUCCCUGCUUCCUCCCAGGCUGCACCUCAGCUUUACGUGUAACUGGCUCCUCAGCCGCCAUGUGGGUCCUGCUUCCUGCUGUAGGAAGCAGAUUAGCCCAGGGCACCUGGCCAUCUCUUGUGUCUUCUGUUUCCUCUUAAACAUACGGUAUGGCUGGAAAGAAGGGACCAGGAAGGGCACUUGCCUGACGGAUGGAGGUGUGAACAUGGUCUUGUGGUUUUCCAGAGUGUCACCCGACACUGUCCUCUGUCCUCUUCGACACACGGCCUUAAAAAUCCCAUUGGCACUGUGGCCUCCUACAGAGCCUCCCCUACAGGCAGGCCCAGGAAGACAGAGCCUUUGUGCCCGCAUCCUGCCCUGU